UGACGGUCAUAUCACGUUGAAACACCGGCUCAUGUACGAUCACCGAAGUUAAGCAACAUCGACACUGAUUAGUACCAAAAUGGGUGACAGCUUAGGAAUACCAGCUGCUGU